rnacentral:lncRNA from 1 species
GCCCGCCCGUGGGGAGCGGGAGAGAGCCCGCAGGCCGGCCCUGGUUUUGCUCUGGUUCCUGGGGCCCAUGUGUGACCGAGGACCCAGCCAGCACACCGUCAGAUGCCCGCACUUCCAUGUGCCCUGUCCUGGGCAUUAAGUCUGCACCAUGCGGGCCUUGGAGAAGCAUGUGCUGUAUGUGCGGCCACCAGUGGAGGCUGGACACGCCCUCCUACAGGCCCCUGCCUGCCAGGCCGAGGCUGCUGGGAGAACCCACGGGAAGGGCGGUCACAGACCCGCCAGAAGCGUCCAGACCCAGGCGCUCUCUGCAAGCUCCUUCCACAGCCAGCCUCCUGCUCGAGGGCACCAGCCCCGCGUGAUUCCCACAUCCUCUCCGCGACGGCCGGCCAGGGCUCUCGGGACAGCCUCCACUCCGGUGUGGGGUUCUGGGGUUUGUGCAUCUGACAUAAAUUCCAAGAAGUAAACACCCUCUUAGUUCCCAUCCAAGUCUUGAGAAUUUCCUGUUGUCCCGGCCAGUCUGUGGAGUCACCCACAUCUGCACUUCAUCAGCCCCGAGGCACUGGAACAAGAAGCAGAUGGGCGGCAGGGGACGCAGCCUUCAAAGGUCCUGCAGAAGCUCUGCCGAGACCACUCUGUGUCAGGAUGAGGGUGGCUGGCGAACAGCGGCUUGACGAUCAUGCUUGCCGAGGCCGCCCCCUCCCUCCGUGUCCCUGUUCUGUGCUAGGGCUCCCGCUCUGCUGGGUAUAUGGGAGCCGCAGGCACAUAUGUGGGAGGGGGCAGUGGGACUCCACCGUGACCAAGACCCCAAGCAACAGGGAGAGCAGGAGGGUGUGAUGCACUGUGGGGGAAGCCCACCGCCCAGCUGCGAGUCCCCUUACUGGGAGUCACCCCCCGAGAGCCACAGAUCCUCCCAGGAGGGUCGCUCUUAACUUACAUGCUGCUCCCAGGCCUUCCGCCCUCCCGCGCCCAGCCUGCCAUAGCGCGCAGGGUUAGAAGCGGCGUGACAGCUGAGGGCACAGGGACCUGGAGCACCCCAGAAGUGCCAGGAGAGUGGAGGCCGAUGCUGGCCUCUGCGAACCAGGACUUCUGGGGGUGCUGCCGCUGUGUAGGAGUCUGGCCGUGGCCUCCUCCCCACUCAACCUGAGGAAAGGACCAGAGCGGGCCGCUGAGACAAUCAAACGUGUCCUCUGGGCUCUGAAACCCAGCAUUGGCUUUUUGUUGGAAGUUAGCCAUUUGAAGACUCCCGAAAGAUUAAUGGUUUAGUUAAUUAAGGAGGAAAUAAAUUCUUCCCCCAUGGAAACUUUUGGGAGACUUCCCUUUCAAGGCCCCCUUCUGCACCGUGUGCUUAGGAACACUGAGUGUUUGAGACACUGCACCCCCGUCCACCUCCGAGGAGCAGGGCACAGGCAGGAAGGGCUGGGGACAUCCCCCCAGGGCCUUCCGAGCCACCCGGGAGAGUGGGGGCCGGCAGCACCACUGUGCCCCGCACGCCCCGUCAGGUUCCGGGGGCUGAGAACAGAAAUAGAAACAGCAGCUUUUCCCUGGGCACAAGCCAAGGAAGAGGGGAAAGGAGAAACCUGACGGACACGUCUGCGACAAAUCCCCGGGGAAAAUCCCCCCCAGGCACGUCCCUCAGGAAGCCAGUGGAGAAACGCUUCUCAGGACCCAGCACGCACCACGGGCUGGUGAGGACGGAGCUGCUGCCUUUCUGGAACAGACACAGGGCGUGUGUGGGGAACCUUGCUUCACCUGUGGAUAUACAGAGCCACAUGCCAACGUGUGAAUGGAGACUGGUCCCAGGAAGUGGCAGCUCUCGGGACCGCCCUGAGCCAGGGCCCAAGCACGGGCAGUGCAAGGACAGGAAACGGUCAAAGCUCUGCUGUUACCACAGGCUGGGAACAGGACUCUCUGUCCCAGCACUGUCUUGGGCGUGUGCCCAUGAACAGUUUGCACGGAUGUGGGACACCUGCAUUCACGAAGCUUUGGAGCCUGGGUAGGCUGGGAAUCCCAUGCUGGGUUUCGGGUCUCUGGAGAUGGGACAGAGUAGGAGACCCUCUCGUGGUGUCUGCCCAGCUGGGCAGAAUAAUUCUGAGCAGAAUAGACGAAGAUGCUUCUGAGCUCCCUGGCAGCAUAAGCUCUGCCCGAGAGCCUGACCACUCACAAGGUGACCUGCCUAGUCCUGUCCCCAGCUGUGGGGGGUGACCGUUCCCAUCAAUAGCAGAGGUGGCCCAGGCCCCACGUGACAUUCGCUCUGUCCCAGGCCCCGCUGAGAGCCCCACCCAGCACAUCCAGAAUCUUACCCUUCUUGCCACCUAAGAAUGACCUGGCCUCGAGGUCCUCCAAGUACAGGUCCCUGGCCCCGAGGUCCUCCAAGUACAGGUCCCUGGCCCCAAGGCCCUCCAAGUACAGGUCCCUGGCCCCGAGGUCCUCCAAGUACAGGUCCCUGGCCCUGCAGGUCUGGGUGAACUUGCUCCCUCCAGGCACACGGGUCUCUCCCCUUCCCAGCAAUCCUGUGAUAUCUGCCCCCCUUUUGAGGGCAGCAUUCCCGUGGCGGGGGCAGGCCUGGAACACACGGGCGGGGGGAGGC